AACUUUUGUUUUCUCUAUAGGUAAUAAUCGUCUUUUUUCUUUUCUUUGUUUUCUUAGUGGUUACUAUUAAUUCAGUUACUAACCUCUUUGUGAGUUGUCUAAAUCUCUUGGGUACGUCCAGACAUGUCCUAGAGGUAGAUACUCUAUUCAGUGGUCUGUGCAUCUCAUCUAUCUCCCUGUCUUCCCUGGCCACAUGCCCAAGGCCAUCACUGCUUCCUCUUCCUGGUGUGGAGACCAUAGUUACUUUGUUUUGUUUCUUCAAGCCACAGCAGUCUGGUUUCCACAUGCCCCACGGCUCUGCAGUGACCUUUGUCAAGGUCAGGUUUGUGUUGCUAAAUCUGAUGGGCGCAUUUCUUUUUCAUCUUUAUGUCUCAGCUGCAUUUCACACCCUGGACAUUGGACUUCCUUGAAGCAGUUUUUUAUUUUUUAUUUUUUUAUUUUAUCAUCUGUAUCUACCUUGUGUUGUGUUCUUCCAGAAGCAGACCCUGAGGAAAGAUUUGGCAGAGAGAAGAAGGAGCUGUACCAUUCAACAUCAAGGAAGAAUUGUUAAUUAUAGAUCCCAACAGAA